ACGAGCAUGAUGGAGAAGCAGGGCACGUGCAUUACUAACUCACGCAACAAGCCAUGGAGGAACCCGUGUCGAAGACGUUAGUUACAUGGCCCAACGGCACGGUCGCAUCGCCGGGCGGAGUUUGUGAUGUCGCCAGCUCGUGCGCACGGUAACUUUUGAGCUCAUAAUCAUCUCUCCUCAGGGUGAUGAGUUAGUUUUUCAUGUGCCCCGUCUUCCCCAUCGUGGACGC
rnacentral:pre_miRNA from 1 species